rnacentral:rRNA from 1 species
GAUGAACGCUGGCGGCGUGCUUAACACAUGCAAGUCGAACGGUGAAGGCGGAGCUUGCUCUGCUGGAUCAGUGGCGAACGGGUGAGUAACACGUGAGCAAUCUGCCCCUGACUCUGGGAUAAGCGCUGGAAACGGCGUCUAAUACUGGAUACGAGCUGCGAAGGCAUCUUCAGCAGCUGGAAAGAACUUCGGUCAGGGAUGAGCUCGCGGCCUAUCAGCUUGUUGGUGAGGUAACGGCUCACCAAGGCGUCGACGGGUAGCCGGCCUGAGAGGGUGACCGGCCACACUGGGACUGAGACACGGCGCAGAAUCCUACGGUAGGCAGCAGUGGGAAAUAUUGCGCAAUGGGCGAGAGCCUGAUGCAGCAGCGCUGCGUGAGGGACGACGGCCUACGGGUUGUAAACCUCUGUUAGCGGGGAAGAAGCGAAAGUGACGGUACCUGCAGAAAAAGCGCCGGCUAACUACGUG